UACGUCCGAUAUGAAUCUGAG
rnacentral:misc_RNA from 1 species